UCUCCGUAGGUGAACCUGCGGAGGGAUCAUUACCGAGUGAAGGGCCUCCGGGUCCGAUCUCCCACCCUUUGUGAUUAAACCUCUGUUGCCUCGGGGGUGACCCGGCGCGUUUAUCGCGUUGGGGCCCCCGGCGGACCCCAGCCCACUCUUGCGUCCCGACGUCGGUUCAAUUGAUGAAUAUCAAAAAACUUUCAACAACGGAUCUCUUGGUUCUGGCAUCGAUGAAGAACGCAGC
rnacentral:misc_RNA from 1 species